AUUGAACGCUGGCGGCAUGCCUUACACAUGCAAGUCGAACGGUAACAGGUCUUCGGAUGCUGACGAGUGGCGAACGGGUGAGUAAUACAUCGGAACGUGCCUAGUAGCGGGGGAUAACUACUCGCAAGAGUGGCUAAUACCGCAUGAGAUCUACGGAUGAAAGCAGGGGAUCGCAAGACCUUGUGCUACUAGAGCGGCCGGUGGCAGAUUAGGUAGUCGUUGGGAUAAAAGCUUACCAAGCCGACGAUCUGUAGCUGGUCUGAGAGGACGAUCAGCCACACUGGGACUGAGACACGGCCCAGACUCCUACGGGAGGCAGCAGUGGGGAAUUUUGGACAAUGGGCGCAAGCCUGAUCCAGCAAUGCCGCGUGCAGGAUGAAGGCCUUCGGGUUGUAAACUGCUUUUGUACGGAACGAAAAGCCCCGGGUUAAUACCCUGGGGUCAUGACGGUACCGUAAGAAUAAGCACCGGCUAACUACGUGCCAGCAGCCGCAGUAA
rnacentral:rRNA from 1 species